rnacentral:rRNA from 1 species
UUCUGGUUGAUCCUGCCGGAGGUUACUGCUAUUGGAAUCCGAUUAAGCCAUGCGAGUCGAUCGGGUCAGACCCGAGGCGCACUGCUCAGUAACACGUGGAGAAUCUGCCCUUAGGUGAGGAAUAACCUCGGGAAACUGAGAAUAAUACCUCAUAGGUUAUGGAUGCUGGAAUGCUUCAUAGCCCAAAGCCCCGGCGCCUAAGGAUGACUCUGCGGACUAUCAGGUAGUAGUCAGGGUAACGACCUGACUAGCCUACGACGGAUACGGGGUGUGAGAGCACUAGCCCGGAGAUGGAUUCUGAGACACGAAUCCAGGCCCUACGGGGUGCAGCAGGCGCGAAACUUCCGCAAUGCUCGCCAGAGUGACGGAGGGAUUCCAAGUGCCUAUGCUAUGCGUAGGCUGUUUUUAUGUCUAAAUAACAUGGAGAGUAAGAGCUGGGUAAGACGGGUGCCAGCAGCCGCGGUAA